rnacentral:rRNA from 1 species
CAGAUUGAACGCUGGCGGCAGGCCUAACACAUGCAAGUCGAGCGGUAGCACAGGGAGCUUGCUCCUGGGUGACGAGCGGCGGACGGGUGAGUAAUGUCUGGGAAACUGCCUGAUGGAGGGGGAUAACUACUGGAAACGGUAGCUAAUACCGCAUAACGUCUACGGACCAAAGUGGGGGUCUUCGGGCCUCAUGCCAUCAGAUGUGCCCAGAUGGGAUUAGCUAGUAGGUGGGGUAAUGGCUCACCUAGGCGACGAUCCCUAGCUGGUCUGAGAGGAUGACCAGCCACACUGGAACUGAGACACGGUCCAGACUCCUACGGGAGGCAGCAGUGGGGAAUAUUGCACAAUGGGCGCAAGCCUGAUGCAGCCAUGCCGCGUGUGUGAAGAAGGGCUUCGGGUUGUAAAGCACGUUCAGCGAGGAGGAAGGGUUCAGUGUUAAUAGCACUGUGCA